rnacentral:rRNA from 1 species
GAUGAACGCUGGCGGCGUGCCUAAUACAUGCAAGUCGAGCGAACAGACGAGGAGCUUGCUCCUUUGACGUUAGCGGCGGACGGGUGAGUAACACGUAGGUAACCUACCUAUAAGACUGGGAUAACUUCGGGAAACCGGAGCUAAAACCGGAUAAUAUUUCGAACCGCAUGGUUCGAUAGUGAAAGAUGGCUUUGCUAUCACUUAUAGAUGGACCUGCGCCGUAUUAGCUAGUUGGUAAGGUAACGGCUUACCAAGGCAACGAUACGUAGCCGACCUGAGAGGGUGAUCGGCCACACUGGAACUGAGACACGGUCCAGACUCCUACGGGAGGCAGCAGUAGGGAAUCUUCCGCAAUGGGCGAAAGCCUGACGGAGCAACGCCGCGUGAGUGAUGAAGGUCUUCGGAUCGUAAAACUCUGUUAUUAGGGAAGAACAAACGUGUAAGUAACUGUGCACGUCUUGACGGUACCUAAUCAGAAAGCCACGGCUAACUACGUG